rnacentral:rRNA from 1 species
AAUUGGAGGGCAAGUCUGGUGCCAGCAGCCGCGGUAAUUCCAGCUCCAAUAGCGUAUAUUAAAGUUGUUGCAGUUAAAAAGCUCGUAGUUGAAUUUCGGGGUUAGUAGGUUGGUCAUGCCUCUGGUAUGUACUGGUCUCACUGAUUCCUCCUUCCUGAUGAACCGUAAUGCCAUUAAUUUGGUGUUGCGGGGAAUUUGGACUGUUACUUUGAAAAAAUUAGAGUGUUUAAAGCAAGCUAACGCUUGAAUACAUUAGCAUGGAAUAAUGAAAUAGGACGUUCGAUCCUAUUUUGUUGGUUUCUAGGAUUGACGUAAUGAUUAAUAGGGAUAGUUGGGGGCAUUAGUAUUCAAUUGUCAGAGGUGAAAUUCUUGGAUUUAUUGAAGACUAACUACUGCGAAAGCAUUUGCCAAGGAUGUUUUCAUUAAUCAAGAACGAAAGUUAGGGGAUCGAAGACGAUCAGAUACCGUCGUAGUCUUAACCAUAAACUAUGCCGACUAGGGAUCGGAUGAUGUUAAUUUUUUAAUGACUCAUUCGGCGCCUUACGGGAAACCAAAGUGU